GUGUUAGAAGCGCUGAAACACUCGCCGUGUUUCCAAACUUUGUGUAGUUUGAGGUGAUUGGGUUUUUUGGAGGGGAACCGCAAAGAUUCACCACGGUCUACCAAGAGAGGUAGCCAAACGCCCUAUCCGGCUAUCCCUUACGUCAGCCAGAAUAAUCAAGGGACUUAGAAGCUUCCUUAAAAUGCCGCUUGGAUCGCGGGCGUAGCUUGGCCACCAGCUGUUGUGUGUAGCACAGUCUCCCUCUCCCCCCUCCUUCUAUAUAUUCGGGGAUUCCCACCCCAAGCCGCCAGCGGCAAUUGGUGGCAAUGGCAGUAUUGAAGAGUUGUGACCAAGCUAUAAUAGCAUUUACAUUCAUUGAAUUAACGUCUGUUAUCCUCAUUUAAGAAAACGGCGCAAUUUUGAACAAAUUAUCACACAAAAAAAUGAAUACAAGAUUGUUGAUGCCGGAAUCUUGGAAGAAGUAAACGUCAUCACUCAAGAACAAGGAGUCCAUCACACAAACCCAGGACAUCAGUGUUCUGUUUCUACAGCUAAAAUGGAAAACUUUUUCUGUGAUACCCACAUCGCUAAUACAACAAGAUCCCAACGCUAAUGUUGGAUUUUCACGAGGUGGUGACGAUAAAAUAAAUGACUUCCUUUGACGGUCGCCUGAGCAAGCUGCAUUGCCUUACUACCUUGUGGAUGGUAACGGAAAAAUCCAUUGCCACUGCAAAGGAAAUCCUGGCCGUUUCAGUCCAAGAGAAAUCUUAUUGGCGAUGCGCCAAAAAAUAUCGUCGCGAUGGGAAAUGUUGUUUAUUCUUUCCAAUAAAAAUUAAUCAUUUUUCCCUAGGGCUCGACAACCUUAUCGCUCGACGUGUGCCUUCUUUUCCGUGUGUGCUUUUUUGCCCAGUUUAUUCCAUCCCACCUCACGUAAUUAUAUUCCAAAGCUCGCAUCUAUAACUAAAAUCCACGCAAGACCUAUUGGCUGCUCCCUUUAGAAUGUUCUCGCUUUUUUUUUACUUUGUGCGACUUUUGGAGAGCGUGAAACAUUAGUUUUCGAUAUUUUUUUUUCUCCUUUUCGGUCCUGGAAAACUACUUAUGCCAAGGGCAGUCCAGUCAAGCUUGACUCCGGAUCAGUGUCAUGACGGACUGGUUUCCAUGUUAAAUGUUUUUUUUUACAAACUCCGACCUAAGAACCAGCAUUGCCAGUUCUAGAAAAAAACAUCAGAAAACUUUUGUUGAUUUGGGUCCCUGGUGGUCGAAGCUGGAAGGGGAUCAAGACAGCAGACGACUGUCGUCAUGGAAACAUAAUUUUAUGGCACUUUCACCAAAACGUCGUUUCUUAGAACUGACAAUGCUGGUCUUUAGGUUAAGUUCCCGAAAUCUGGCAACUUUUAGUAGGGGUACACUGGGGUGCGUCCAAAGUCCAAAAAAAGUUAGCUGGGCUAUCUAAGUUGAACGUUUAGACAGCCUGGCUAGCUACAUGCUAGCUUGCCCCUUGAUAGCCAUAGCGACUGCCAUUGGCUGGCUCAAAAGAAUAUUUCUCUUUAAAAUUCUGAUAGUUUGGCAACAGUGGAUAAUGGUAGAAAAAAAGAAAGAAAAUUAUUUAAAUUCGCCUGCCGUUUUUCUUUUUUUCCUAGGUUUUCAUUUUUUCUCGAGUAUCUUACCUACCCUUCUAUUUUUUUCUUCCUUUGUCGUUAGAGCUGAUACCCCUUGCAAAAUGUGAAACUGUUGCCACUCAGUUCAAAAGAAAGCUUCCUAGAGCAAACAUGUCGGAGACCGAAAUUGCAGCCAUUGCUAUUGAUGGUGUUAUUCGGAAAUUUAGGCUAACAUCGAGUCAAAAGGAACGAUUGUUAAAGGGUGAGAUUUAUUUUCAAAAUUUGUUAAUUAAUUGUAAAUUUCUUAGCUUGUUAUUGCCUUGACAUUGUUGGCAUGUGCGCUCUGAAAUCCUAUUAGAAGCUCUAUGUGUAAUUAUAAUUCUAUGUAAUAUAUGUAUUAACCAUGUUUUUUAUGGUUUUAGAAAAAAGAAUUUGCACGACGGCUUGUAGAAAAAUUUAAAUAAAGUCCGGAAAUUUCUCCCUGUGAUAAAGAUCACCCUGGGUCCCCUAUUAAAGAUACUGCCGGACCUUCCACUAGCGUUUCUCUGCCGGACAUUGCAGCCACCAAUAAAUCUCACACUACCAGGAAGACUACUGCUACAAUUGCUGAUCGUAGCGGAAAUGUCGCAGGUCGUGGCCGCAGUCGUGCUGGAGUCAAUGCUGUGAUUCGACGUGGUGAAACUGAACGUGGACGUGGACGUGCCAGGGGAGGAAUUAGAAUCAAUGGAGGACGUGGCCGUGGUAAAUCCAAUAGCCCAACCACUACACUCCCUUCCAAUAAUCAAGACGAAGUAGAAGAAACAGAUUGGCUCGCUUGGCCUGGUGAAGAUCCAGCGCAGUAUGCAAACAAUGAGGAAAAUGCUGAAAGUAGUGAAGGUGAUGAAGAUGGAAAAGGUCUUUAUUGGUUUACGGAAGCAAGAACAAAUCUCCUUCUUGCAACAUACAAACCACUUGAAAAGAAAUUUGCUGGACAUCGUCAACCAAUCCAACUGUGGGAAAAAUAGCUGGCACACUACAAGAAAAAGGUGCAAAAGGUGUUACUGCUCGAAUGUGUCGGGACAAAUUCAAAAACCUUAAAGCCCGCUACAAACAGAUUCAAUCCCGCCAAUAAAGCACUGGUGCAGCUGGGGAAACUAAAUGGCCUUUUUGGAACGCAAUGGAUGACUUACUUCGCAAGGAUGUUGCUGUCAACCCUGACAAUAUUAUCGAAGCGGGGGCGGCUGGAUACCGGGCUAUUAAACGGCGAUGGGACCAUGACGACGAGGAAGACGUAGAGGAAACGCGUAAUCCUAAAAGGAAGCGAGUAGCAACAAGUGACAUCAUCAAAAUUCUUGCUGAUAACGAAGCUGAACGUGACAAAUCGAA